rnacentral:misc_RNA from 1 species
AGAAAUCUGAGGUGUGCGCGGUAUUCAUUAUGUGUUGACCGAACAAAUAAUUUAGAUAAGGGAUCCGGAGCAAAGCAUCGAUAACAUGCCUUUUCACUUGGAAGUUAGUACUUGCUAUGUUAGGAGCCCACCUGCUUAAGAUUGCGGGUUCAAAACUGUCGAAUACAAUAAACGGCACCACCGGAGAUCUA